UUUGUUACUUCAAACCAAUCGGACUUCGGUCUGACAUCAAGUGAUAUUGAACAAUUUAGCUGAUCGCACGGUCUAAGAACCGGCGACAUAUCCUUCAAAUGUCUGCCUUAUCAACUUUCGAUGGUAGAUUAUGCGCCUACCAUGGUUGUAACGGGUAACGGAGAAUCAGGGUUUGAUUCCGGAGAGGGAGCCUGAGAAACGGCUACCACAUCCAAGGAAGGCAGCAGGCACGCAAAUUACCCACUCCCGGCACGGGGAGGUAGUGACGAAAAAUAACAAGCUGGUCUCAAUGAGUUCCAGCAUUGUAAUGGGAACAGUUUAAAUCUUUUAUCGAGGAUCUAUUGGAGGGCAAGUCUGGUGCCAGCAGCCGCGGUAAUUCCAGCUCCAAUAGCGUAUAUUAAAGUUGUUGCGGUUAAAAAGCUCGUAGUUGGAUCUAGGAUUAGGGCUACGGUCGUUCAGCUUGGACGUACUGUAUGCCCGACUCCUUUUCUCUAGUAUUCGAUUGUUGCUCUUAAAUGAGUGACUUUAGUUGCUGGAACUUUUACCUUGAAAAAAUUGAAGUGCUCAAAGCAGGUU
rnacentral:rRNA from 1 species